rnacentral:misc_RNA from 1 species
AAAAUGCGAUAAGUAAUGUGAAUUGCAGAAUUCAGUGAAUCAUCGAAUCUUUGAACGCACAUUGCGCCCAUUAGUAUUCUAAUGGGCAUGCCUGUUCGAGCGUCAUUUCAACCCUCAAGCCUUAGUUGCUUGGUGUUGGGAGCUUAUCCUGCCGCAAGGCGGGACAACUCCUUAAAUUUAUUGGCGGAGUCGCGGUGACCCCAAGCGCAGUAAUUCCUUUUCUCGCUUUAGGUGUUAACGCUGGCUUCUAGCCAUUAAACCCCCUAAUUUUCUAAUGGUUGACCUCGGAUCAGUUAGGACUACCCGCUGAACUUAAGC